GUGGGUCCUUCCUCAAUCAGGAAGUACAGAUGACAUCGCUGGAGCACAUGGUGUGGCCAGAGGUUUGAGGUUGAGGCAGAAAAAUGACAAGUAAAGAGAAGACAAGAAGAUGCAGGAAGAGACUAAACGCUGAUCCCAGAAAGAGAGGAAAUCCUGAGAAGGAGACGCAGAAAGUUAACAGAAUAAGAUGAUAGAAUAAGUGUGUGUGUGUAAGGGGGUAGGUGGUAGAAGACAAUGCCAUUAGGAGUAUGUGGCAACAAUAGAUAGCACCUGGAUCUUGACUAAAGCCUUUCUCAGUUUCAUCUCUUUAUCAUUGAGCAUGAGGGAAAUAUAGAGAGAGGGAAAGAUGAUGAGAGGGAGAGAUGACAUGGACAGAAGAAGAGUGGAGAAGAGAGAGGGAAUGCAGCACACCACAACCUUCACCACCUCCCUUACAAGUAAAAAAGAAAAGUCUACCAAACUCCAAGAGGCAAUCAAAACAACAUAAAAUAAAGAAAAUAUUGUAUGGUGUUCACACACUUUUGAAAGUUUCAUAAAAUAUAUUUUUGAAAGGGGAAAA